rnacentral:lncRNA from 1 species
UGUUUUAGUGUAAGAAGGGGCUUGCUGGUUUGGUGGUUGGUUGUGUGUUAGUUUAGCUUGGGCUCCUAGGUUCGAGUCACUAGGAGUGUUUUGAGAGAUUAUUUUUGUUUUUUUUAAAAGUUUGGAUAAUUGUUCUAUUUAUUUAAUGUUAUUUUAUUAUUUUAUUUUCUAGUUUUUACUGCUCUUUUCUUUUUCACGUUCUCCCUCGCCCCCUCUCUCUCUCCUUUGUUUGCUUUCUUUUUCUUUUUCUUUAUUCAUCUUUUGGGAAACAAUUUUACUUGUGGAUUUCAGAGAGCUUCGCUCCUUUGUUGUCG